GAUCAUGGCUCAGGACGAACGCUGGCGGCGUGCCUAAUACAUGCAAGUAGAACGCUGAAGAGAGGAGCUUGCUCUUCUUGGAUGAGUUGCGAACGGGUGAGUAACGCGUGGGUAACCUGCCCUGUACAGGGGGAUAACAGUCAGAAAUGACUGCUAAUACCGCAUAAGACCACAGCACCGCAUGGUGCAGGGGUAAAAACUCCGGUGGUAUGAGAUGGACCCGCGU
rnacentral:rRNA from 1 species